AGAGUUUGAUCCUGGCUCAGAACGAACGCUGGCGGCAUGCCUAACACAUGCAAGUCGAACGAGACCUUCGGGUCUAGUGGCGCACGGGUGCGUAACGCGUGGGGAAUCUGCCCUUCGGUUGGGGAAUAACACAGAGAAAUUUGUGCUAAUACCUUAUAAUGUCUUCGGACCAAAGAUUUAUCGCCGAGGGAUGAGCCCGCGUAGGAUUAGCUAGUUGGUGGGGUAAUGGCCUACCAAGGCGACGAUCCUUAGCUGGUCUGAGAGGAUGAUCAGCCACACUGGGACUGAGACACGGCCCAGACUCCUACGGGAGGCAGCAGUGGGGAAUAUUGGACAAUGGGCGAAAGCCUGAUCCAGCAAUGCCGCGUGAGUGAUGAAGGCCUUAGGGUUGUAAAGCUCUUUUACCAGGGAUGAUAAUGACAGUACCUGGAGAAUAAGCUCCGGCUAACUCCGUGCCAGCAGCCGCGGUAAUACGGAGGGAGCUAGCGUUGUUCGGAAUUACUGGGCGUAAAGCGCGCGUAGGCGGCUGUUCAAGUCAGAGGUGAAAGCCCGGGGCUCAACCCCGGAACUGCCUUUGAAACUAGAUAGCUAGAAUCUUGGAGAGGUCAGUGGAAUUCCGAGUGUAGAGGUGAAAUUCGUAGAUAUUCGGAAGAACACCAGUGGCGAAGGCGACUGACUGGACAAGUAUUGACGCUGAGGUGCGAAAGGUGGGGAGCAAACAGGAUUAGAUACCCUAGUAGUCC
rnacentral:rRNA from 1 species